rnacentral:rRNA from 1 species
CAACUCGACUACAUGAAGCUGGAAUCGCUAGUAAUCGCGAAUCAGAANGUCGCGGUGAAUACGUUCCCGGGUCUUGUACACACCGCCCGUCACACCAUGGGAGUCAGUAACGCCCGAAGUCAGUGACCGAACCUGAGAGGGAAGGAGCUGCCGAAGGCGGGACGGAUAACUGGGGUGAAGUCGUAACAAGGUAAC